ACAAGUUGAGCGAUGACCCAGUAAUGGCUGGAUAAUGCUCCCUGGGUGUUUCCUAGUUUCACUUUCACCAGGAUCAAGUCUCAGAUCGUUUUCUUCACGUCAACCUCCCUCUGAAGGUGAAGGACAAAGUGUGAGCUGAUGUGAAUCCAGCAGCAUGGACCAGAGUGAAGCUCAGAGAAGUCCUGGGGAUGCCAGUCUGGAGUUGGCGGUGGAGGAGCGGAGAAGGAGCUUUGGUUUGGCUUUGCCGUCUGUCCUCAGGGGGAUCGUGAGGUCUUCAGCAGCAGGAUCGAUGGACUGUCUGGACUUGAUGGGAUCCAGAGGGAGUGUGUCAUGAGAACAUGGCCCAUUUUUAAUUUACAUCCCUUCCUUUACAAGUACAAGAACAAGGAGACACCAUUCGACACGAUCUAUGCCGCCGUUUCUAUGCAACUGGUCAAACGACCAAACAUCUCAGACACUGUUUUUGACAACUAGUAUAUAAUGGUAAUUGUGUAAUAAAGAAAUUAAAAAAAUAUUACAUUGUUUAUUUUUAUUCAAUUUAAUCUCAUUUAUUUUAUCUUUCUUUUGAUGUUCUGAGUGUUUACUUUUAUGUGCUUGACUUAAUGACUUUAAUGAUCGUGGAUCAUUAAAGUCUAAAUCUAAGUCUAGUGACUUAUGGCUAUGUACUACCACACAACUAAAACAUUGCAAGUUUUUAGGGAACAACAGGGUAGAAGCUGCAUUAAAAAAAAAAAAAAAAAGCAUUUCUAUCAUGAGCCAGUGCAGCCACAGCCAAAAUGGGCACCACCAUCUUGAUACAACAGUGUGAAUAAUCGUCUAAGUCAACGAGCCACUCCAAGAACCUCCAUAAGCACAAAGUACCUGAGAAUGAACUCUCAUAGUUCAGAGAACAUGUCCACACGUUGUCAGAGUUUAAGAUGACUGAGUUCUCAGAAACCUCUACACAGACCUGUCAGCCAUUCAUCACCUAAACCAUCUCCUCCAUCUCUCUGCAGCCUCCAGCCCCUCAGACCUGACCAUGUGGUCUCUGAGGACCAGGCUGAACCUCCACUGGUGAACGAUGAAGCCGUCGUUACAGCCGAUGUUCUUGAGAAGUGUCAACGUAAACUUAAAUCUAGUCUGAAGAAGAAGUUCCAGUGUGUGUUUGAGGGGAUUGCUAAAGCUGGAAACUCAACCCUUCUGAAUGAGAUCUACACAGAGCUCUACAUCACAGAGGGAGGGACUGCA